UACACUCCUACGGGAGGCAGCAGUGGGGAAUUUUGGACAAUGGGCGAAAGCCUGAUCCAGCAAUGCCGCGUGAGUGAAGAAGGCCUUCGGGUUGUAAAGCUCUUUUGUCAGGGAAGAAACGGUGAGAGCUAAUAUCUUUUGCUAAUGACGGUACCUGAAGAAUAAGCACCGGCUAACUACGUGCCAGCAGCCGCGGUAAUACGUAGGGUGUAAGCGUUAAUCGGAAUUACUGGGCGUAAAGCGUGCGCAGGCGGUUUUGUAAGUCUGAUGUGAAAUCCCCGGGCUCAACCUGGGAAUUGCAUUGGAGACUGCAAGGCUAGAAUCUGGCAGAGGGGGGUAGAAUUCCACGUGUAGCAGUGAAAUGCGUAGAUAUGUGGAGGAACACCGAUGGCGAAGGCAGCCCCCUGGGUCAAGAUUGACGCUCAUGCACGAAAGCGUGGGGAGCAAACAGGAUUAGAUACCCUGGUAGUCCC
rnacentral:rRNA from 1 species